AGGAAGGUAGUGUAGUUAACACCUGCAUUAUUGUACGUUACCUACAGAAGAAGACACCGGCUAACUCCGUCGCCAGCAGCCGCGGUAAGUACGGGAGGGUGCGAGCGUUAAGUACGGUAAUUACGUGGGACGUAAAGCGCAUGCAGGCGGCCUGUUAAGUCAGAUGUAGAAACGGCCCGGGGACCUUUAACCGUACGGUAAAUUGCUAUUUAGUAAACGUGGCGAGGCUAGAGUCUUGUAGAGGGGGGUAGGAAUUUCAGGUGUAGCGGUGAAAUGCGUAGAGAUCUGAAGGAAUACCAGUGGCGAAGGCGGCCCCCUGGACAAAGACUGACGCUCAGAUGCGAAAGCGUGGGGAGCAAACAGGAUUAGAUACCCUGGUAG
rnacentral:rRNA from 1 species